AAUUGGAGGGCAAGUCUGGUGCCAGCAGCCGCGGUAGUUCCAGCUCCAAUAGCGUAUAUUAAAGUUGUUGCAGUUAAAAAGCUCGUAGUUGAAUUUCGGGAUCAAUAUUUCGGUCAUGCCGUUGGUAUGCACUGUUAUCAUUGAUUUCUCACCUUCUAAAGAACCGUAAUGCCAUUAAUUUGGUGUUACGGGGAAUUAGGACUGUUACCUUGAAAAAAUUAGAGUGUUUAAAGCAGGCUCACGCUUGAAUACAUUAGCAUGGAAUAAUGAAAUAGGACAUCCGAUUCUAUUUUGUUGGUUUCUAGGAUCGAUGUAAUGAUUAAUAGGGAUAGUUGGGGGCAUUAGUAUUCAAUUGUCAGAGGUGAAAUUCUUGGAUUUAUUGAAGACUAACUACUGCGAAAGCAUUUGCCAAGGAUGUUUUCAUUAAUCAAGAACGAAAGUUAGGGGAUCGAAGACGAUCAGAUACCGUCGUAGUCUUAACCAUAAACUAUGCCGACUAGGGAUCGGAUGAUGUUAAUUUUUUAAUGACUCAUUCGGCGCCUUACGGGAAACCAAAGUGU
rnacentral:rRNA from 1 species